UCCAUUCAAAUCCGCUUAUAAAUAAAUGAAAAAUGAAGUCGAGAUUGAAUUCAUUUAUGUAGUUGUUUGUUAGACGUUGUACGAGUAAAAACGUUCUUUAUUUUCACGCCACAACAAUGAUGAAAACAAUUGCCAUUCUCUUAAUCAUCUUGGCCAGCGUACAGGUAUACAAACAUCAGUGCGCUGUACUUCCAAACCAACUGGAAGCAAGACGGGUUCCUGAGGAAAAAAUUGUUACCUCUAAGAGAGCAACGGAUUCUUCGAACGAACUACCUGAAUACACCAUAGUUGGAGACAACGGCGUUAUACGAGUAAAGCGCUUGGGGAUAGAGAUGAAACAUAAUGAUGAAACUUUCAAAUCUGGCUCAGUGGAGUUAUGUAUCUAUCAGAAUAAAAUUUACAUCAAUAAGAAAUUGAUUGUUGAGAUAGAACGCCCUAUUUCAAAUGUUAUCUCAAGGACCAUACUCACUUCUAAUAAUACGUAUCGUUUCAAAAUUGAGACAUAUAAAAGCGGUCAAAUUUUGUAUCAAGAUGAUAAAGCGAAUAUUUCGAUUCCUCUCACGGGUGUUAUUACAAACCAAGUCCCUACAUAAAUAUUUUCGAAUGUAAGCAAUGUUUCGAAUGCAUUCAAACUGAUGAAUAAAUAAUUCAUGUUGUCACAAAGAA